UACGUAGGGGGCAAGCGUUGUCCGGAUUUAUUGGGCGUAAAGCGCGCGUAGGCGGCGCGGUAUGUCGUGCGUGAAAUCUCCCGGCUUAACUGGGAGGGGCCGUGCGAAACUGCCGGGCUUGAGGUCGGAAGGGGAAAGUGGAAUUCCGGGUGUAGUGGUGGAAUACGUAGAUAUCCGGAGGAACACCAGCGGCGAAGGCGGCUUUCUGGUCCGAUACUGACGCUGAGGUGCGAAAGCGAGGGGAGCGAUCCGG
rnacentral:rRNA from 1 species